rnacentral:rRNA from 1 species
GUAGGGAAUCUUCCGCAAUGGACGAAAGUCUGACGGAGCAACGCCGCGUGAGUGAUGAAGGUUUUCGGAUCGUAAAACUCUGUUGUUAGGGAAGAACAAGUACCGGAGUAACUGCCGGUACCUUGACGGUACCUAACCAGAAAGCCACGGCUAACUACGUGCCAGCAGCCGCGGUAAUACGUAGGUGGCAAGCGUUGUCCGGAAUUAUUGGGCGUAAAGCGCGCGCAGGUGGUCUCUUAAGUCUGAUGUGAAAGCCCCCGGCUCAACCGGGGAGGGUCAUUGGAAACUGGGAGACUUGAGUGCAGGAGAGAAGAGUGGAAUUCCACGUGUAGCGGUGAAAUGCGUAGAGAUGUGGAGGAACACCAGUGGCGAAGGCGACUCUUUGGCCUGUAACUGACACUGAGGCGCGAAAGCGUGGGGAGCAAACAGG